rnacentral:misc_RNA from 1 species
AGGGGCAGCGCGCCCAAAUGGAUAGCAAGGUGGGUGCUUCUCUUUUCUUUGGCUUCUGGAAGAUGCCGGUCAGCUCACCAUGCUAUCUCAGGGCCCAGGGCCCGUUCUUUGUGGGGAUGCCAGGAGCCUGCAGCCUGGCCGUGGGUGCAGCUGUGGACUGUUGGCGUCGGCGGGCUGGGCUGGUGCUGCAUAAAAACGACAUGCAGCCAUGGUGACGCUUGCACCGGCCGAGUACGCAUCGGGCUGAGGGCUCAACAACAAUGGACACACCUGCUCGUACCAAAGGCGUGCAAAUCGAGGAGAGUGUUGAAUGCCCCUGCCCGCCACAGGCUCGCGGCAGCGUCCCUCUUGCCGCGGCACACGCGGGCAAGCCAGCAAGCCCCCUUUCCACAAGCAACAUCGGUGCCCUGAAACAGGCCUCGUGGCUCGAAAAUGCGAGCACUGUGCGCACGCGCUGCCAAGUGCAGACGCUAUGUCGUAUCGCACGCAAGCAAGGCAUGCCGAGGUGAGAGGAGCAAGAGUGGUGGACGAGAAAUGCACGAAGGGGAUCAUACUUGCCAGCCCCAGGGUGCGUGUGCGAAACGUGAGGCACGCUCUAUAUCCGACCAGGUGGGCGGAUAUGGUGCAGAUGUCAGAAGCGUGACGAGAGCACCCCCGAAUGGCACCAAGGAGUCCUCCAGACUCCCAUGUGAGGAGUCCCCACACCUUGCUAUGGAAAGUCGCGGCCUGAAGCGACGGAGGGGGAGGCAUGCCACACAGGUGGCAGGGUGUGCAGGCUCUCAGUAGGCCCUCGCCUGCGGCUGGCCAACCUCCCCGGGCCAUCUGAUAUGCACCUAGACCACCACCCCCUUAUUACCCGCACUACGGGCGCCACGGCUUCUGCCCUCGAGCAGGACCCUGGACGCGGCCUACUCUCAGACAAGGCAUGUGGCCCAUCCCUGCCCGUCGCGCCGGCCGCGCCGCACGUGGGAGAAGAAGGAACGAGGAAGGAGCGGGAGAGCCUGUGAGGCGCAUGGCCCAACUCGACGGCAGGACGGUUCGCUCGAGACGACCAGGAUGUAGCCGUGGCGCAAAAGCGGCAGAGGAGCUGUGGCUGUGCGCAUGCAUAUAUUUGCGGACUUGUUCAUGAUAGAUUAUGACAGUCGGGAGAGUGAACUCGGUGUGCUGUACCGUAUGUGGCGUCCUUCCUCACUUUCUCUCCGGAAGUCUCCUACCCCACCUUUCCUCCCCUGCCGAGGUGUCCACGCACCGCGUUUUCCCCACUCUCCACCCUCACUUCACAUGCGAAUCGCUGUUCAGUCUUCGUCUGAAGGCUCUGCGCACUCCUCAGCCCUUGCUCUCUCCUUACUCCUGCGCUUUUCCUGUUGGGUUACUUCGGUGGCGCCUCCCCUUCCCCUGCCCGUCCCUCUGUCCACUGUCCACAGGCUGGGGCUGUGCCGAGGCAUAUGGUGGUUCUGGUAGACGGCGGCUGCAGUUUUGUAUUCCCCUCCUUACCUCAUCGGCGGCCCCUUUGUGGACACGCCCACAUCCCAGCUCUCCCAUUCUCUUUUUAUCGCCCUGUGUGUUUGUGUAUGUGUGCGCUCCGCCCAUGCCAUAGUGGAGGGGGGGGCGGCAUGACACGGCGACGCCGCCUUUUUCUUUCGCCGUCUUUUCUCCUUCUGUUUCUCUUCGUUUCGCGCAUGUUUGCACCUCGCUGUCCCGGAGCCGGGAGAGGGUGCAAUGGCCACGGCGUCGAUGCCCUCCCGCUUUCUCCUGCGCGAGGUGCGUGUCUCCUCGUAUAUUCCCUGUUCUACAGCAGUAGUGCCACCUGAAGAGCAUGCGUGUGACGCUCAUGAGGCAACAGCGAAGCACCGAAAAUCUGGCAGACUGCCCGUGAAGGGAACCCUGAGGAAAACGAGCG